AGUGCUCCCAGGCAAGGGUUCUG
rnacentral:miRNA from 1 species